rnacentral:rRNA from 1 species
UACGUAGGGGGCUAGCGUUGUCCGGAUUUAUUGGGCGUAAAGAGCGCGUAGGCGGCCAGGUAAGUCCGACGUGAAAUCUGGAGGCUCAACCUCCAGCGGUCGUUGGAAACUACUUGGCUAGAGUCCGGAAGAGGAGAGUGGAAUUCCUGGUGUAGCGGUGAAAUGCGCAGAUAUCAGGAAGAACACCGAUGGCGAAAGCAGCUCUCUGGGACGGUACUGACGCUGAGGCGCGAAAGCGUGGGGAGCGAACAGGAUUAGAUACCCCCGUAGUCC